GGGGUACUGUAAGUGGUAGAGUAGCCUUGUUGCUACGAUCCACUGAGGUUAAGCCCUUGUUCUAAAGAUUUGUUCAACUUUGUUGGACUUUCUCUUUUUCUUUUUCUUUUUACGUGCUGAAUGCUUGAGGGCCGGGAUAAUAAUCUUUGUGCACUCGCUACAGCAUGUUAACUUGGGUUUCAAGGUGGAGACUAACCAUGCCUUGGUAUUGGUUACCUUUCUCAUUGAGCCUCGUUAUAAGGCUUAGAAGGAAUUUCGUUAGCAAGCUCUUAAUGCAUGCUGACUUGAAACUUUCUUGGUAUCGGUUUUCUGCCCGAUAUAAUGCGUAUGGUAUAGGCAUGGUACUUGAAAGGGCGAGUUAGCGGUUUGUUAACGAGUUUGAAAGCCUGCCCUUAACGAUGCCUUCAUUGAAAGGUCCUUCGAAGCUAAGGUUACCUUUGUUAACCGUUUACUUAGCUUUCGAAGGGUUACGUUCAAAUGGUUUUCAUUGACUUGGCCUAUUACGCGGGUUGGU
rnacentral:misc_RNA from 1 species